rnacentral:tRNA from 1 species
GAACCGUGCCCGAAUGCCCAAGGAUUACUUUGAUAGAGUAAAAUAUAGAGGCUCAAAUCCUCUCGAUUCC